CGGACCUCUUCGGAGGUCAGCGGCGGACGGGUGAGGAACACGUGGGUAAUCUGCCUUUCAGACCGGAAUAACGCCCGGAAACGGGCGCUAAUGCCGGAUACGCCCGCGAGGAGGCAUCUUCUUGCGGGGAAAGGCCCGAUUGGGCCGCUGAGAGAGGAGCCCGCGGCGCAUUAGCUAGUUGGCGGGGUAACGGCCCACCAAGGCGACGAUGCGUAGCCGACCUGAGAGGGUGACCGGCCACACUGGGACUGAGACACGGCCCAGACUCCUACGGGAGGCAGCAGUAGGGAAUCUUCCGCAAUGGGCGCAAGCCUGACGGAGCAACGCCGCGUGAGCGAAGAAGGCCUUCGGGUUGUAAAGCUCUGUUGCUCGGGGAGAGCGGCAUGGGGAGUGGAAAGCCCCAUGCGAGACGGUACCGAGUGAGGAAGCCCCGGCUAACUACGUGCCAGCAGCCGCGGUAAAACGUAGGGGGCGAGCGUUGUCCGGAAUCACUGGGCGUAAAGGGUGCGUAGGCGGUCGAGCAAGUCUGGAGUGAAAGUCCAUGGCUCAACCAUGGGAUGGCUCUGGAAACUGCUUGACUUGAGUGCUGGAGAGGCAAGGGGAAUUCCACGUGUAGCGGUGAAAUGCGUAGAGAUGUGGAGGAAUACCUGUGGCGAAGGCGCCUUGCUGGACAGUGAC
rnacentral:rRNA from 1 species